AGUUAGGGCCAGAGAGCCUUGAGUUGGAGAGCUGGGGAGAUGGGAGGCUCCGCGACAUGGGAGAGGGACCCUCAGGGACCCUUGAAGCCCACUGGAGACAGCAUGGACAAGGUCUUGUUCUGCAGCUCUGGCCAGCCCCGUGUGAUAAUCCUCCUGCUCCUGCCUCCCGAGCUGGGAUGCCAGGCCUGUACCAACACACCCAGCUUUUGUGUGAGUCCAUCACAGUGAGCAAGACCGAAGGCAGGCAGCUUCCCUUUGUUUGCGGUUGGAAUGCUUAACGGCCGCUGCCGCUGGAAGUGAGUGGCCAGUGGAUUGUGCAAAACCGAUACAGAGAUACAGAGCACGCCCUUCCACCUGGCAUUCCAGCCAGAGAGCUCUCCAGAUAGCACCGUCCCAGAAUGCACUACGCAAAACCAGGGAUAUUUGUCCAGUUUGAUCAUUGCUGUGUGGCAGCGUCCAGUGAAGCACUGCAAAUA
rnacentral:lncRNA from 1 species